UACGAAGGGGACUAGCGUUGUUCGGAAUUACUGGGCGUAAAGCGCACGUAGGCGGAUUGUUAAGUCGGGGGUGAAAUCCUGGAGCUCAACUCCAGAACUGCCUUCGAUACUGGCGAUCUCGAGUUCGGGAGAGGUGAGUGGAACUGCGAGUGUAGAGGUGAAAUUCGUAGAUAUUCGCAAGAACACCAGUGGCGAAGGCGGCUCACUGGCCCGAUACUGACGCUGAGGUGCGAAAGCGUGGGGAGCAAACAGG
rnacentral:rRNA from 1 species